GGAUGUGAGUGUGAUCUGGCUGUGACAUCUGUCACCUCAUUGAUCGCCAGGGUUUAUUUGGAUCAUCCAGUUGGUUAGGCAGGUGACCCCUUCCUCCAUCACCACUUCAUCUGUGUCCUUUCCAAAGCUGCCUGCUCAAAGAAACAACCUUCCCCAAUAGAAGCGGACCAUUCUUCAGUCAAGGGUACAUGAGUAGCUAUCCUUCCCUGCUAGAACCUCCAAACAAGUUCUCAAGUGCAUGUGGGACAUUCUCCAGGAUAGAAUAGCUCUAUGCCAGGCCAUAAAGCAAACUUCAAUAAUU
rnacentral:snRNA from 1 species